rnacentral:rRNA from 1 species
AUUGAACGCUGGCGGCAUGCCUUACACAUGCAAGUCGAACGGUAACAGGUCUUCGGAUGCUGACGAGUGGCGAACGGGUGAGUAAUACAUCGGAACGUGCCUAGUAGUGGGGGAUAACUACUCGAAAGAGUGGCUAAUACCGCAUGAGAUCUACGGAUGAAAGCAGGGGAUCGCAAGACCUUGUGCUACGAGAGCGGCCGAUGGCAGAUUAGGUAGUUGGUGGGAUAAAAGCUUACCAAGCCGACGAUCUGUAGCUGGUCUGAGAGGACGAUCAGCCACACUGGGACUGAGACACGGCCCAGACUCCUACGGGAGGCAGCAGUGGGGAAUUUUGGACAAUGGGCGCAAGCCUGAUCCAGCAAUGCCGCGUGCAGGAUGAAGGCCUUCGGGUUGUAAACUGCUUUUGUACGGAACGAAAAGCCCUGGGUUAAUACCCUGGGGUCAUGAUGGUACCGUAAGAAUAAGCACCGGCUAACUACGUGCCAGCCGCCGCAGUAA